UAAUGAUGAAGUAUCAGGAGAAACGUGUCUUCAGGUUACAGAUUAUUACAUGAUGGUGGUACACGAAUUGUGCGGUGAUAGAAAUCAUAUAUGUCCUCUUUCCAAAAUAGACUCGAUCGAUCGGUAUUGCUAGAGUAUGAGUAGCAAUUAUUAUCCGAUAGAGUGAGGCUGAGGCCUUCCGUGACUGAAGCAGAUUGCAACGCUGAUCGAUCUCCUUACAUGCUCGGCUUCGCGCUGAGACGGCUCGCCAGUUUCUGACCCAGAGACCUGUCAGCCUGAGACCAGUAGGAGAGCCAGAUGCUCCUGAUCUCGUGGGUGAGGCGAGGGUCAGAGAGUGCGUCGAUCCAUCUCUUGAUGAACCGGUCUUGCCUUGCCGGAUCCCAUGAACGGUACCUCUCCCCUGGCUGCUUGAAGUUGUUCUCCUUGGCAAUCACCACCUUCUCGCGGCGGCCGGUGAGGGUGGCGGAGGGGAUGGGGUAGCGGGGGGCGUGCUUGGCAGGAUCGUAGCGGGAUGGGAAGUAGUCGACCUCCUCGUCGCGGUGCAUGAAGUUCAUGAAGCCGUCGUAGUGGUUGUUGUGGUGGGCGCACUUGGGCGCGUUGGGCGGGAGCAGCAGGUAGUUUGGUCCGAGGCGGUGGCGCUGCGUGUCGGAGUAGGAGAAGAUCCUCGUCUGCAGCAGCUUGUCGUCGGAGUAGUAGAUCCCCGGCACGAUGAUCCCGGGGCAGAACGCCAGCUGCUCGUUCUCCGAGAAGAAGUUGUCGAUGUUGCGGUUGAGCACCAUCCUCCCCACGGGCUGCAGCGGGACGAUGUCCUCGGGCCACGUCUUGGUGACGUCGAGCGGGUCGAAGUCGAAGCGGUCCUCGUGGUCGGGGUCGAUGGUCUGGAUGAACAGCUUCCACUCCGGGAAGUUGCCGGCGGCGAUGGAGUCGUAGAGGUCCUGCGUGGCGUGGCUGUGGUUGGUCCCGCCGACGGUGACGGCCUCGUCGUCGAGCAGCGACUUGACGCCGCAGGUGGGCUUCCAGUGGAACUUGACGUAGUGCGACUUGCCGGCGCGGUUGACGAGCGUGUAGGUGUUGACGCCGGAGCCGUCCAUGUGGCGGUAGUCGGCGGGGAUGCCGAUGUCAUCGAAGAGGAAGGUGAACAUGUGGAGGCUCUCCGGGUGGUGGGAGAAGAAGUCGAGGAUGCGCCAGUUCUCCUGGACGUGCGACUUGGGGUUGGGCUUGAGCGAGUGCACCAUGUCCGGGAACUUCAUGCCGUCGCGGAUGAAGAAGACGGGGAAGUUGUUGCCGACGAGGUCCCAGUUGCCCUCCCGGGUGUAGAACUUGAUGGCGAAGCCACGCGGGUCGCGGAGGGUCUCCGGGCUGCCGCGCUCGUGGAUGACGGUGGAGAAGCGGACGAUGACCGGGGUCUGGACGCCCGGGGCGCGGAGGAAGUCGGCGCAGGUGAGGUGGGUGAUGUCGUGGGUGACCUCGAAGAAGCCCUUGGCGCUGGCGCCGCGGGCGUGCACCACGCGCUCCGGGAUACGCUCCCUGUCGAAGUUGGCCAGCUUCUCAACCAGGUGGUAGUCCUCCAGAAGGAUCGGGCCUCGGGAGCCGACGGUGAGCGAGUUGUUGUUGUUCCAUACGGGGGCGCCGGAGUUGGUGCUCCACAGCGGGCCGUUGAACGAGCUCGACGGGCGGUGCUUGUAGGGAUCCAUGGCUGAUUAAUUAACGACG
rnacentral:misc_RNA from 1 species